GAUGAACGCUGGCGGCGUGCUUAACACAUGCAAGUCGAGCGAGUGAGUUCUUUGGAACGAUCUAGCGGCGGACGGGUGAGUAACACGUGGGCAACCUGCCUCAUAGAGGGGAAUAGCCUCCCGAAAGGGAGAUUAAUACCGCAUAAAAUUAUCGAGUGGCAUCACAUGAUAAUCAAAGGAGCAAUCCGCUAUGAGAUGGGCCCGCGGCGCAUUAGCUAGUUGGUGAGGUAACGGCUCACCAAGGCGACGAUGCGUAGCCGACCUGAGAGGGUGAUCGGCCACAUUGGGACUGAGACACGGCCCAGACUCCUACGGGAGGCAGCAGUGGGGAAUAUUGCACAAUGGGGGAAACCCUGAUGCAGCAACGCCGCGUGAGUGAUGAAGGUCUUCGGAUUGUAAAGCUCUGUCUUUGGGGACGAUAAUGACGGUACCCAAGGAGGAAGCCACGGCUAACUACGUGCCAGCAGCCGCCGUAA
rnacentral:rRNA from 1 species